rnacentral:rRNA from 1 species
GACGAACGCUGGCGGCGUGUUUAACACAUGCAAGUCGAACGAUGAACCCGGAGCUUGCUCCGGUGGAUUAGUGGCGAACGGGUGAGUAACACGUGAGUAACCUGCCCUUGACUCUGGGAUAACUGCGGGAAACUGUAGCUAAUACCGGAUACGACCCUCGGCGGCAUCGCCAAGGGGUGGAAAGAAUUUCGGUCAAGGAUGGACUCGCGGCCUAUCAGCUAGUUGGUGAGGUGACGGCUCACCAAGGCGACGACGGGUAGCCGGCCUGAGAGGGUGACCGGCCACACUGGGACUGAGACACGGCCCAGACUCCUACGGGAGGCAGCAGUGGGGAAUAUUGCACAAUGGGCGCAAGCCUGAUGCAGCAACGCCGCGUGAGGGAUGACGGCCUUCGGGUUGUAAACCUCUUUUAGUAGGGAAGAAGCGAAAGUGACGGUACCUGCAGAAAAAGCACCGGCUAACUACGUGCCAGCCGCCGCCGUAA